rnacentral:rRNA from 1 species
GACGAACGCUGGCGGCGUGCUUAACACAUGCAAGUCGAACGGUAAGGCCCUUCGGGGGACCCGAGUGGCGAACGGGCGAGUAAGACGUGGGUGAGCUGCCCUGCACUUCGGGAUAAGGCUGGGAAACUGGGUAUAAUACGGUAAAGGACUCCUGGCUUCCGUGAUGGGGGUGGAAAGGUUUUGCGGUGUGGGAUGGGCCCGCGGCCUAACAGCUUGUUGGUGGGGUAAGGGCCUACCAAGGGGACGACGGGUAGCCGGCCUGAGCGGGUGACCGGUCACCCUGGGACUGAGAUACGGCCCAGACUCCUACGGGAGGCAGCAGCGGGGAAUAUUGCACAAUGGGCGCAAGCCUGAUGCAGCGACGCCGCGUGAGGGAUGACGGCCUGCGGGUUGUAAACCUCUUUCAGCUAUGACGAAGCGCAAGUGACGGUAGUAGCAGAAGAAGGACCGGCCAACUACGUGCCAGCAGCCGCCGUAA